GUUAGCAUGCAAAGAAUAUGGGAAUUCUACCUAUGUUAUCAUACAAAAGAAUAAGGGAAUCCUACCUAUGUUAUCAUACAAAAGGAUAUGGGAAUCUUACCUAUGUUAUCAUACAAAGGGUUCUAUCUAAUGGGUGCUACCUAAUCGGAACAAGAGUUGACGAGUGGAGCAAGGAGAAAUGUUAGGGAUAAGGGUAGAUGGCGAUGCAUGAAGCAAUCGACUUACAAGGUUGAUGGCGAUGC
rnacentral:lncRNA from 1 species